UCCCUGGUGGCUCAGACGGUAAAGAAUCUGCCUGCAGUGCAGGAGACCCAGGUUCAAUCCCUGGGUUGGGAA
rnacentral:tRNA from 1 species